rnacentral:lncRNA from 1 species
AAGAAAUUUGUUGAGCAAAGAAGAAAGAUUCCAAAAGAACCUGAUAUUGAAAGAUGUCUGAAAGAAGGCAUAAGUGGAAAGGUUCCAGAAGAACCUGAUACUGAAAAAUGUCUGAAAGAAGGCAUAGAUAAAAAGGUUCAAGAUGAACCAAAUAAAGAUGAUCCCGAUGACGAAAAGGGAACAGAAAAGUAUGAGAUUUCCAUCAACUAC